AACAUUAGAGGCAGGUAUAUCAGGAUAAGGAAGCUUCUCUACAGCCUCAAGAUGUUAUUUGCUGGCAUUCUUAGCUUUUGGAUUGAAGCUGGUUGUCUGCUAAGUGAAUAGACUCUAUUGUCACAAGGGUUAGUUCUGACACAGAGGGAGGAAACAGGCUGUUCCAGAGAGGCAACACUUAGCCCAUGAGAAGGUCAUUAGCCUCUGACCUUGCAAUGCUUUUAUCUCUCUACAGUACAGAAAUUCAAAUCAGACUGCCAGGCUCUGCAGACACAGAUUCCUUUAGGAGUUUUCCUUCACUGCCAGACAAGGCAGUUUCCCUUCAGAAGUCUGAUAUCCAAAGAGGGGAGAGUGAGUCUCUAUUUAGAAUAGGUUCAUUGCAGCCUGAAAGGAUGGUUACAAACAUGUGGACGGGGUUUGUCUAUUUGCCUCCAACUACUCCCCAGUUCCACACUGAACUUUGAACCAUUGGAGAAACAGAAGCUGCAACCUUGAAAUCUAGUGCAGUCAACUUAUUGAUUGGACCACAGUGAGAGGUGUUUCUGCUAGAUAGAAUUUCUAAAUUCAUGUUACCAGAAAUCAUCCUGUCUGCCCACUUCUAGUCUGUUUACAGAGCACACCUUGUACGUGCCAGCAUUUCCUAAGAGGUGGGAGAUGGUGCCGGUGUGGAUAAAUAGGCAUCAGUGUGCAGUGGGAGAGCAGCAUCCCAGGAGAACAGCAACCCCAAACAUUAGGACUCACCUAACACAGAUGGUGGCAGCUGGCUUCAGCUCUCCAGACAGGAGAGCAGCGAAGAUGGUUCUCUUUGUAGCUCUGGGGCUGUUGAUGGCUGGGUUCUGCCCUGCUGUUCUCUGUGAACCAGAUGGCACAUUGGGAAGAAACACUGAAGUCCA